rnacentral:rRNA from 1 species
UAGGGAAUCUUCCGCAAUGGACGAAAGUCUGACGGAGCAACGCCGCGUGAGUGAAGAAGGAUUUCGGUUCGUAAAACUCUGUUGUUAGGGAAGAAAAAAUGUAUAGUAACUAUAUACAAAAGAGACGGUACCUAACCAGAAAGCCACGGCUAACUACGUGCCAGCAGCCGCGGUAAUACGUAGGUGGCAAGCGUUGUCCGGAAUUAUUGGGCGUAAAGCGCGCGCAGGUGGUUUAGAAAGUCUGAUGUGAAAGCCCACGGCUCAACCGUGGAGGGUCAUUUGAAACUAAUAAACUGGAGUGCAGGAGAGAAAAGUGGAAUUCCUAGUGUAGCGGUGAAAUGCGUAGAGAUUAGGAGGAACACCGGUGGCGAAAGCGGCUUUUUGGCCUGCAACUGACACUGAGGCGCGAAAGCGUGGGGAGCAAACAGG